UACGUAGGUGACAAGCGUUGUCCGGAUUUACUGGGCGUAAAGAGCGCGCAGGCGGUCGAUCAAGUCGAGUGUGAAAGCCCCCCGGCUCAACUGGGGGAGGGUCAUUCGAUACUGAUCGACUCGAAGGCAGGAGAGGGUAGUGGAAUUCCCGGUGUAGUGGUGAAAUGCGUAGAUAUCGGGAGGAACACCAGUGGCGAAGGCGACUACCUGGCCUGUUCUUGACGCUGAGGCGCGAAAGCUAGGGGAGCAAACAGG
rnacentral:rRNA from 1 species